GUGAGGAAUUUUCCGCAAUGGGCGAAAGCCUGACGGAGCAAUGCCGCGUGAAGGAUGAAGGCCUAUGGGUUGUAAACUUCUUUUCUCAGAAAAGAAUUAUGACGGUAUCUGAGGAAUAAGCAUCGGCUAAAUCUGUGCCAGCAGCCGCGGUAAGACAGAGUAUGAAAGCGUUAUCCGGAAUGAUUGGGCGUAAAGCGUCUGUAGGUUGUUUAAAAAGUAUUCUGUCAAAGAUUAGGGCUUAACCCUAGAUAGGCAGAAUAAACUUUUAAGCUAGAGUUUGGUAGAGGCAGAGGGAAUUCCCGGUGGAGCGGUGAAAUGCGUAGAUAUCGGGAGGAACACCAAAGGCGAAGGCACUCUGCUGGGCCAAUACUAACACUGAGAGACGAAAGCGAGGGGAGCAAAUGGGAUUAGAAACCCGAGUAGUCC
rnacentral:rRNA from 1 species